UGAGGAAUAUUGGACAAUGGGCGCAAGCCUGAUCCAGCAAUGCCGCGUGCAGGAUGAAGGCCUUCGGGUUGUAAACUGCUUUUGUACGGAACGAAAAAGCUUCUCCUAAUACGAGAGGCCCAUGACGGUACCGUAAGAAUAAGCACCGGCUAACUACGUGCCAGCAGCCGCGGUAAUACGUAGGGUGCGAGCGUUAAUCGGAAUUACUGGGCGUAAAGCGUGCGCAGGCGGUUAUGUAAGACAGAUGUGAAAUCCCCGGGCUCAACCUGGGAACUGCAUUUGUGACUGCAUGGCUAGAGUACGGUAGAGGGGGAUGGAAUUCCGCGUGUAGCAGUGAAAUGCGUAGAUAUGCGGAGGAACACCGAUGGCGAAGGCAAUCCCCUGGACCUGUACUGACGCUCAUGCACGAAAGCGUGGGGAGCAAACA
rnacentral:rRNA from 1 species